GCAUAUCAAUAAGCGGAGGAAAAGAAACCAACAGGGAUUGCCUCAGUAACGGCGAGUGAAGCGGCAACAGCUCAAAUUUGAAAUCUGGCCGCAAGGUCCGAGUUGUAAUUUGUAGAGGAUGCUUUUGGCGAGGUGCCUUCCGAGUUCCCUGGAACGGGACGCCAUAGAGGGUGAGAGCCCCGUACGGUCGUGCCACCGAGCCUCUGUAAAGCUCCUUCGACGAGUCGAGUAGUUUGGGAAUGCUGCUCUAAAUGGGAGGUGUACGUCUUCUAAAGCUAAAUACCGGCCAGAGACCGAUAGCGCACAAGUAGAGUGAUCGAAAGAUGAAAAGCACUUUGAAAAGAGGGUUAAAAAGUACGUGAAAUUGUUGAAAGGGAAGCAUUCAUGACCAGACUUGGGCUUGGUUGAACAUCCGGCGUUCUCGCCGGUGCACUCUGCCAGCUCAGGCCAGCAUCAGUUUGCCCCGGGGGACAAAGGCGGUGGGAAUGUAGCUCUCUUCGGGGAGUGUUAUAGCCCGCCGCGUAAUGCCCUGGGGUGGACUGAGGUUCGCG
rnacentral:sRNA from 1 species